GGGCGCUUGAGGCUAUCUGGUUUCAAGCAUAGUGCAAGAUCCCAGAUAGACGAAAGCCCCGACUGAUAUUUAAAUCAACCGAGGCCAACGCAUGAAUCACACAACUCAGAUGUUAGCCUCUUACGUGCCGAAAGGCAAGGAGAAGCAAACAUG
rnacentral:antisense_RNA from 1 species